rnacentral:rRNA from 1 species
ACCCCUACGUUUAGUUGCUAACGCGUGAAGGCGAGCACUCUAGACGAACUGCCGUUGACAAAACGGAGGAAGGUGGGGAUGACGUCAAAUCAUCAUGCCCCUUAUGUUCUGGGCUACACACGUGCUACAAUGGCCGGUACAGACGGACGCAAAGCCGCGAGGUGGAGCAAAUCCUAAAAAGCCGGUCUCAGUUCGGAUUGCAGGCUGCAAUUCGCCUGCAUGAAGUCGGAAUCGCUAGUAAUCGCAGGUCAGCAUACUGCGGUGAAUACGUUCCCGGGCCUU